CCUUCGGGUUGUAAAGNGGUUUCAGUGAGGAGGAAAGGUCAGUNGCUAAUACCUGCUGGCUGUGACGUUACUCGCAGAAGAAGCACCGGCUAACUCCGUGCCAGCAGCCGNGGUAAUACGGUAGGGUGCAAGCGUUAAUCGGUAAUUACUGGGCGUAAAGCGCACGCAGGCGGUUGGGAUAAGUUAGAUGUGUAAAGCCCCGGGCUCAACCUGGGAAUUGCAUUUAAAACUGUCCAGCUAGNAGUCUUGUAGNAGGGGGGUNGNAAUUCCAGGUGUAGCGGUGUAAAUGCCGUANUAGAUCUGGAGGGAAUACCGGUGG
rnacentral:rRNA from 1 species